GCUGGUGGAGGUGAUGACUCUUUCCCCGUCAGAGCGGCAGUGUUGACUAUUGCUGUCCAAGCCAGGUCGUGUCUGAUGUACCAGC
ensembl:snoRNA